CGGAAAACAAUAACUAUAUUGAUCAAAUCAGGUCUAUGUCUCAACUGUACAAGCCAAUAAUUAUCCAAUCACUUGCACGCAAUGGCAUCCUGAGAAAGCCAUUUUUGAGUGGAGGAAACCAAUGAUCCCACACAACGAAGAUGCAAUACAGGUUACUCAACAUUUUGCCAAUCAUUUUAUCAGCCAAGCACGCAAGUCUCCAAACAGGCCUCCUGCCGACAAAGUGCUGGAUAACUUAAUUUACAACUACAGCCCAACAUUUACCGGAA